GAUGAACGCUGGCGGCGUGCCUAACACAUGCAAGUCGAGCGAAAGGACGAGAAGUAGGCUCGCAUGAGGGUAGCGGGGGAGGGGAGAGUAACACGUGGAUAAAAUAACUAUAAGACUGGGAUAAUAACGGGAAACAGGAGCUAAUAACGGAAGAUAUAUCGAACUGGAUGGUGCAAAAGUGAAAGAAGGUAUUGCGGACAGUAAAAGACGGAUCAGGGCUUGAUUAGUUGGUGGGUAAGGGAACGGCUUACCAAGGCUACGACGCAGAGCCGCUCUGAGAGGGUGAUUGCCUACACUGGAACUGAGACUCGUCCCCGACUCCUACGGGAGGCAGCAGUCGGGACUCCUCCGCAAUGGGCGAAUGCCUGACGUAGCAACACCGCGUGAGUGAUGAAGGUCUUCGGCUCGUAAAGCUCUGUUGUUCGGAAAGAUCUUAUGUUUUUUUACCUGUGCUCAUCUUGACGGUACCUAAACAAUAAGCCCCGGCUAACUACGUG
rnacentral:rRNA from 1 species